rnacentral:rRNA from 1 species
CGCACUAAGUUGACCGCCUGGGGAGUACGGCCGCAAGGUUAAAACUCAAAUGAAUUGACGGGGGCCCGCACAAGCGGUGGAGCAUGUGGUUUAAUUCGACGCAACGCGAAGAACCUUACCUGGCCUUGACAUGCAGAGAACUUUCCAGAGAUGGAUUGGUGCCUUCGGGAACUCUGACACAGGUGCUGCAUGGCCGUCGUCAGCUCGUGUCGUGAGAUGUUGGGUUAAGUCCCGUAACGAGCGCAACCCCUAUCCCUAGUUGCUAGCAGUUCGGCUGAGAACUCUAGGGAGACUGCCGGUGACAAACCGGAGGAAGGUGGGGAUGACGUCAGGUCAUCAUGGCCCUUACGGCCAGGGCUACACACGUGCUACAAUGGUGCGUACAGAGGGCUGCAAACCCGCGAGGGGGAGCUAAUCUCACAAAACGCAUCGUAGUCCGGGUCGGAGUCUGCAACUCGACUCCGUGAAGUCGGAAUCGCUAGUAAUCGCGAAUCAGAAUGUCGCGGUGAAUACGUUCCCGGGCCUUGUACACACCGCCCGUCACACCAUGGGAGUGGAUUGCACCAGAAGUGGUUAGUCUAACCUUCGGGAGGA